ACGAAAUCAGCAAUGGGGAAGCCAUAGUUAGGGUUUUCAAGCUUCCAAGCUCCAUAAUCAAGAAGUACGAAACUCGAGGUUAGACAAAGGGAAGAAUAAAGUUGAAGACUAAGUUGGUGAAUUUGGCUAUAAUUGGUACCGAGUAUUGCAAAGCUACUUCAAGGAUCCUAAAGAAGUCGGAGAUCGUCCACACUAUCAACC